AGCGCACUCUUCGGAGUGAGCGGCGGACGGGUUAGUAACGCGUGGGAAUAUACCCUUCACUACGGAAUAGCCUCGGGAAACUGAGAGUAAUACCGUAUACGCCCUUCGGGGAAAAGAUUUAUCGGUGAAGGAUUAGCCCGCGUAAGAUUAGAUAGUUGGUGGGGUAAUGGCCUACCAAGUCUACGAUCUUUAGCUGGUUUGAGAGGAUGAUCAGCAACACUGGGACUGAGACACGGCCCAGACUCCUACGGGAGGCAGCAGUGGGGAAUCUUAGACAAUGGGCGCAAGCCUGAUCUAGCCAUGCCGCGUGAGUGACGAAGGCCUUAGGGUCGUAAAGCUCUUUCGCCAGAGAUGAUAAUGACAGUAU
rnacentral:rRNA from 1 species